rnacentral:lncRNA from 1 species
CUGGUUUUGGCAGUGUUUUAGUUAAAAACAUAAUAUUUUCUCGUAUUUUGCUGGGUAUUUUUACAACUUGGAAGGAAUUAAAGUGCCGUUUUGCUCCGCUUGCUGAUGUAACCAUUUAUUUUACAUAAAGGACGAGUAAUUCUUUUCACAGGUAAGAUUCAUGGGACGGACAGUACGAAAUUAUAAAAAUAUUUUGUCAAAAUUCAACACUCGUUCACUCAACUUCACUGACUUCAUUCUUCAUGUCAAAUGAACGGCAAAUAUUUUAAUAUUGGACGUCAAAGUCAUAAAAAACCUUGUAAAAUUUGUGGUCAUAAGAUUUACUGUUUUGUUUUAUCUUUGGCGAUGUGUCUUACACAGAUUAUGGUGUGAAAAUCAUUUAAAUACACUUCAAAUAUAGACCAGGAUUAGCACAUGCAAGGCCAGAGAGGGUCAAAAUAGCCAGGGCCACUACACUGGAUUCACUUGUUAUGACAUCAACAUUUAGUAGUGUACUGUUAACGACUGUUAGUGUUAAUGGCCCACAUAUACAAUAAAUUGACUGAUCAGAUUUUGCCAUAUAAUCAAGUGACAAGUAUUAAGAGACUCCAGAAACUGUUGAAUUUAAUAUUGUGAGCAGUGGCAUAGCCAGUAAAACAGAAGUGGGGGAACAACCAAUGGCGUCAUUAAGAAAUUGGAGGGAGCUGCCGAAGGCAUGAGCCUAUUAGCAUAGCUAUUAGCAGUUCUGGGGGCACACUCACCCAGAAGAUUUUGAAAAUUAUCUGAAAACAUCCACAUCAUCCCUACACAAGAAAUGUCAAGUUGCAAGCCCCUGUCCUAUUUACAGUGUAUUUUGCUUUUCUCGGGAGUAGAUUCUAAUCGUCCCCUCCAGACAGCAUAAAUUUCCUCCACGUAUAGUUGGAGUGUGGAUUUUUCUGGAAUAUGACUCAAUGUUCAAACUAUACAGUACAUGUAUUUCCACAACAGAGCAGAAUACACAAAGAACUACAACAAGAAUAUUAUUAGUAAACCUUACUGUGGAUCCUUCCUCUCUCUUGAACAAAUUAUUAUCUUAAUUUCCCUGUGAUUGGUUACAAAGAAACUAUGAUUAAACUAGUGGAUAAUAAUUUGCAAUUUCAGUACUAUGUAAAAGGAACUUUAUUAAGUGUAUAUAUGCAGUUUUGUCGAUGAAAAGAAGCAUGCAUCCACAAUUUUUGGUAAUAAAUGCUGUUUUUCAGGUGUUCAAGAAUGUGUAAUAAUAUCGAUGUAAUAUGAUUGUUGUCUUUUAUCUUGCAGGAAUUAUUGGCUAUAGAUAUCACAAAACAUCGGACAAGGCAUUAAAAUGCAGAAUAGCCAAAAGCGAAGUCAUAAUAUUAAUACCAUAAUAACUUAAUUAUCUGAUGGCAAUCAUCGAUGGAUUUUCUGGGAGGGGGGGGGGGUGGUGUGCACCCCAAAAAUAUUUUCACCACCUCAGAAAGUUUUCCCACCACAGAAAUUUAAAUGCUGCUUUGAUUAAAUGACAGCAGUAUAAUUGAACAAGAAUUUUGAACUAACUAUAGACUAAAAACACGGCCAAUAAUCUCGAAAUAUCCUGGGGUCGUUGCCCCCAACCUUAUCCCAACUCUGUCCCCACUAGUGACUGUACCCUCAGACUCUGCUGUAUCUUACUCAGCACGCUACAUGCUCCUCGCUCACUUUCCACCCAUGAAGUUUUCUGCACACCAACACCCCAAGCAAAAUUUGAAAAUCUGUCUAUGAUGGUGAUGAUAAUUAACUUAUAAAAGUAUAAACCUUUAUUAUUAAGUUAAUGUUAAUUAAAGAAUCAUUGUUAACUACAAUGCAUUGGCAGCAAUAUUGCAUGCUUGUGUUUGUUUAUACAUAUGGGAUCUGUGCAAUUAAAUAUAAUUAUUCGCAUGAUAUGAUAAGUACUGCGCUGCCUGCUAUUACAGUAUUACUUGAAAGCCUUCAGGGGUGGAUCCAGCAAGGUUUUUCUAGGGGGUGCUGGGUGAGCAGCCAAGUGUUUCUUUAUAACUCUUUAGGGGUUGGUGGGAGAAUGAAUUAAUUGGCUUCCUAACGACUCAAGCACUAAAGGCGCGAUCUCCCUAGGGGGUUCAGAGAUAUGCCCCCAGAAUGUUUUAAAAAUUAGAUCCCUAGUAAUGCUAUUUCCUGUGAUAUGGAUAUUGAAUUAUGAUCAGCUUCAGAUUGACUUCAAAAAAGGGAAAACCUUGGAAAUUAUGCCAUGUUUCUGAAUUUGAUUUUAUUGCACCCCUGUUGACCAAGGCCAACAGGGGUGUGCACCCCCCUAUUAAUCCACUCCUGAAUUAAGUUAACACAUACUCCACUACAUCAUGUAUAGUACUACUUAAUUACAAUAAUUUUAGUGUUAAUUUAAAAUUAUUCACUGUUAAUACUUUUACUGUAUUGAAAAGUCCAAUUAAAAUAGUUCAAAAUUAAUCCAGCUUUUGUGUCUUUAAUUUCCAUACAUCUUGCUUGUACUGUAUUUUGCCUGCCUUACUUUUACUUGUCAAUGGAAGAGCCACUCUAUGGGUUAAUUGGGAAACCAGAGUGAGUCAGGACAAAUGCCAGAUUAUGAUAUCCCAAUUGUGAGAUAAUUCUGGAAUAAACAAAAAUAUAUUAUAUGUUGUAAAAACAAUGUGACUCAACAGAGACACCAGAAUCAUUGGUGCAAUUAUCAGGCUUAACCCAUUGAGCCACA